ensembl:lncRNA
CAGCUGCUGGGGGCCUGGAGAAGGCGGAUCUGUCCAAGGCAGAGAAAGUGACGGAUGGGCAAGGGUUGAGCUGAGUGAACACGCCGAUUAAAUAUGCCCAGGUGAUCGGAGGAGGGAGCAGAGGAGGAGGAGGAGGAAGAGGAGGAGUAUAAAAAGCUGCUGCUCUCUUUCAGUCGAGUUUAAAUACACUUAAGUUUCACCUGAUCAGAGCUUCCAUCAACCUGCGGAUUACCGACAUGCUGCAGCGGUCAACUGUGUUGCUGCUCUUUGCGCUUGUUGCUGUUUCACUUGCAGCUCCAGUCCAGAAGAGAAACUCAGAAGAUGAGAGAAUUCUGCCUCUGUUGGAGCACCUGAAUGGUGGCAGGACAAGUGAACCUGUCACAACAGAGCCAGGUAACAAUACAACACACACUUCACAUUGUUUACACUUCACACUAGAGACACACACACACACACACACACACACACACACACACACACACACACACACACACACACACACACACACACACACACACACAUAAUUCUUUUUCUGUUUCCUCAGAUGUUCAUGAAAGUGAAGAGCAAACUGAAGGUAACUUUUCUAUUCAUCUUUCUGCUUAGCUGUUUGCUUACCUGUCCGUGUGCUUACCUGUCCUUCGCUUCCUCUCUCUCUCUCUGUGCUUCAGCUCCUUCAGUUGAUGCCACUGGGUCACCAGAUGUCAGCGAUGAAGGUGUUGCCAUGACUGACAGCGAUGAAGCUCCUUCAGUUGAUGCCACUGAGCCACCAGGUGGUUCAGACAUCAGCGAUGAAGCUGAUGUUACAGCUGACAGCAAUGAAGGUGACGUUAAAGAUUCUCCUGAAGAAACUGAAGAUGCUGCAGAACAGUCAAAUGAGACUGCAGAGUCUGUGCCCGAAAACAGCGCCGACACCAGCACGGAGUCUGAGCCAGCACCUAAUGGUGACAAAGAAGAUGGGGGGGAGGCAUUGAGUGAUGAAGAGCAGGAAGUGAAGGAGAAGGGAGAUGAAACGAGUGAAAAAGAUACCAGUGAGGAGGAGGAGGGGGGGGAGGUGGUGCCUAUCAUAGAAGAGGACAGCAAAGAGGAAACUCCAGCUGAAGAAGACAGCCAAAUGAAUAACAGUGAGAUUGAAGACAUGGUGGAGAUAGAGGAGAAAGAGGCUGAGGAGGAAGAAACAGAAGAGGAGAAUGAGGAGGAGUUCAAAGAAGUGGAGGAGGAGAAGGAGGAAAAAGAGAACGAUAAUCAGGAUGAGCUAGGGGAGGAUAAGCAGGAUGAGCUAGGGGAGGAGAAAGAGGAGGAGGAUGAGCUAGAGGAGGAUAAGGAGGAGGACGAGCCAGAGGAGGAGGAGCUAGAGAAGGAAAAUGAAGAGAAAGAGCAAGAUGGGGAUAAAGAGGAGGAUGAGGCAGAAGAGGAGAAGGAAGAGUUAGAUAAUGAAAAGGAAGAGAAAGAGGAAGAUACGGAUGAGAAGGAGGAGCAGCGGGAGGAACUGGAGGAAGGAAAUGAGGAGGAGCAAGAGAUAAAGGAGGAGGAAGAGGAGGAGGAGGAUUUCAAGGAUGAAUCUGAAAAUGCAGAUACUGAAGAACCUGAUGAAAUUGAUGAUGGUCUGGACUCCACUGAAGCAACACCUGCUGGUGAACUGGACCAAUCAGAUGAUGCCACCCCCGUCACCAAACAGGCUACCAGUUAGAUGCUUCGCCUCUGAGCUGUGGGAGCUCAGCAACUGCAGAGCCAAGCCCACAGCCUCCACAGUGGAAUCCAGCUGCCAUGACUUCAACAACCUAAACUGCAUGAAUUUCAACGUUCAGCCAACUGUUGUUUCCUCUCCCCAUUUUCUAGCAGUGUCUGUUUUAACCUCUGGCUUCUUUGGUUUUCUCAGAUUAAAAAAGGAAAUGUCUUUCACCUGCUGACUGUCUUCUUUUCUGCCAUGUGUCUCUCUUUCCAGCUUCUUGUCUGCAGAAAUAUUAAAUCAGCUGCUGAGCUCAGAUCUGUUUUGUGUGUCUGAUUUCACACAUUAACAUGUACAUAAGUCCCUCUUUAAUUUACAGAGAAUGUUUUUAAGGACGUGAAAAACCAGUCAGUGGUGUAUACAGAGGAACUGCUAAUAAAGUUUGAAUUGUCGAAACCUCAUCGACUCUUUCUUCCAACAGUCAGCAUGCUUCCCUGAACCAGUAAUGACGUGAUUUCAGUCACACAUUUUUAUCAUAAAAUGUGACAUUAUUGUUCAGAAGCUGGAGCAGAACUGAGAUCGGAAAGGACCAACAAGUGUGUGCUUUAUUCAUUAUUUAGAAAAAUAACUGAUGACUGGUGGCUCAUGUGGUAGAGCAGGGUUCAAGG